ACGCUUUCAAAACAUGCUCAGCUCUUUUAAGUUGAGGGGACAUUAUCAUUUCUAUCUAUAGCAUUUCUCUGCAAAUUGAACUCAAAUAUCCUUUGGGCUGACUACACAGAGAACAGAAGAAAGACGUGGAAGAAACUUGGACUCAAGAUUGCCUUCCUGGAAAGGUUUCCUUCAGGCGGAAUUAUGUGAGAAGAAAUGACAUCAGAAACUAACGUGUCAGUAUACUUCUGCCAGCUCCAUACGGUCCAGCUUGUUUUCACAGAAAGAAGCAAAAGCUGUGGGAAUGGGCAUGAAAAAAUACAAAAGGACUUUAUAUCUUUCAGCCUGGGCAGAAGGUGACAGAGAAAAGGAGGUGAGAGAAAAACAAGAUAUGAGAAAAAAAGGCAAAAUCCAAGAAUGAUUUGCACCGGACUGAGAAGAGCGUGAGAUGAAACCCCAAAUUCUUAACUGGUUGAGUUCUAGAAAGAGCGAUGGUAGUAAUUUGGGGGAACUGGUGGUGCCGAGUUCACUUGAUUCUACUUUGAAAACUCUCAUUAAUUGUGCAUGGCUGUGCACAUACACACACCACAGAAACAAAAUUCCUGGAAUGGAAUUGCUUCAGCAAUAACUAAAGUCAAUGAAGAAAGUGAGGGACUUGCAAAAGUUUCCCAGCUGAUUCUGCCAACUGAAAUGCCUUUAUUGUGCUGUUUUGGUAAACAGAAUGAGUCUCAACACUGAAAUCAGGUCAAUGAUUGUCCAAAUCAAUUUGAGGCUCUGUGUCUGUGUAAACUAAUUUCCAUGGCUACUCCUCCAUAAAUGACUUUGCUAUACUCUUCCUCCAAAAGGACUUGGAUCUAGGAUGACCAUAGCAUCAGACUUCAUAUUCUCCUACUGCUGCCGGGUGAUCUGAACUCUCAUCCAUCAAGCUUAGAAAACCAGAGAGAAAAGGAGCUUCUUCACUGUCAACUCAACCAGAAAAAUACUUGGAAAAGACUCUACCUCAGUGUGCUUGGGUCAUGGACAAGGUGAGGGGUGAGGUGCGGCGGGGUGUGUGUG